CCCUUAGAUGUUCUGGGCCGCACGCGUGCUACACUGAGUGGAUCAGCGGGUCAGGUUGCGCGAAAGUGUUUCCUAAUCUUGAAAUCCGCUCGUGAUGGGGAUUGACGGUUGCAAUUUUCCGUCAUGAACGAGGAAUACCUUGUAAGCGCGGGUCAUCAUCCCGCGCUGAAUACGUCCCUGCCCUUUGUCCACACCGCCCGUCGCUCCUACCGAUUGAGUGGUCCGGUGAGGCUUUGGGAUCUGAGCGGAAAGAGCGUUUCGCUGUUUCUGCUCGGAAAACUCAGUCGAACCUUAUCAUUUAGAGGAAGGAGAAGUCGUAACA
rnacentral:rRNA from 1 species